GACGAACGCUGGCGGCGUGCUUAACACAUGCAAGUCGAACGAAGUGGCGAACGGGUGAGUAAUACGUGGGUAACCUGCCCUCCUUUUUGGGAUAAGCCUUGGAAACGGGGUCUAAUACCGAAUAAAGGGGGAUGGGCUCGCGGCCUAUCAGCUUGUUGGGGGGGUGAUGGCCUACCAGGGCGGUGACGGGUAAGCGGACGGAGAGGGUGACCGGCAACAUGGUGAUGGACAGACUGCCCAGGCACCGACGGGAGGCAGCAGUGGGGGAUAUUGCACAAUGGGGGAAAGCCUGAGGCAGCGACGCCAAGUGGGGGAUGAAGGCUUUCGGGUUGUAAACCUCGUACGCUAGCGAAUGGGUAGGUGGAGAAGAAGCGCCGGCUAACUACGUGCCAGCAGCCGCGGUAAUUC
rnacentral:rRNA from 1 species